UGGGACCUUGGGCCGGGGGUGAGGCAAGAGGAGAAGGGGUGGGGUUGCGGUAGGGGCGGGGGUGGGGGCGUUUCCUACCUCCGGGAAGCCCCUGGCUUCCCCACCCCGCCCUGUCCCUUCCGCGAUCGCCCGACGGCCGCGAGGCUGUCGGCCCGCCUGCAGCCAGCACCCCAGGGGCCGCCGCCCACCCCUAGGCCUCGGGAGCUUCCGCGCGAGCUCACGCCCGAGCGGCGGCCGGCGGGAACCGUGCCGGGGGAGGGUCCCAGCCGCGGGCCGCCGCCCUCCGGGACCCGAGGCCGCCCCGCGUCCCGCCGCGUCACUCACAUUUUGGCGGCGGCGGGCGACGGUCGGCAGAGCGGCGCAGCGGGACUGGAGGCCGGGGAGCCGGGCGGGGCGGAGGCGCGGGGCCGAUGACGUCACCGGCCGCGGCCGCGAAGGGGCGCGCCGGAAGGGGGCGGGGCGUCACGGGGGCGGGGCCACCCGAAAGGGCUGGGCGGCCGGCGCGCGGUGACCGCGCGGCAUGUUGCGCUGGGCUCUGUCGCGCUGCAAGCUCUCUGCCCGCCGCCAACCUUGUGACGCCGCAGGUCGCUGAAAGGGACUGUGUAGGUGAAUGAGAGCCGUGGCGUGUCGAUGCCACAACACUGUCUCUGGAUCUAAGGACACACGUGAAACGUAUGGUUUGAAACAUCCUGGGUCACCCUGGAUCUCAACAGCAGAAAGUUGCUCAAGGAGGAUUUAGGGAAAGAGGAAGAGAGGCCUUCUGUUUCAACAGCUGUACAGGCUACUUAGCAUCUGUUACCUUGUUUAGGCCUCCAGACACUUCACCAUCAUCUCCAGUUUGUAAAUGCAGAACCUGAGAUUUACAUCAGUGAAGCGACCUGCCCCAAACAAUACAGUGUUCUGCAGAACAAAAUUUCCUCCGUAUAAAAUGUACCUACCAACUUUAUAAAACAGAUCUGAGAAGUGAAAGAAGUGGGAAUAAGAAUCAAGGAAGUGGAAGAUUUUUAGCCUCCUCCAAUUUCCAACUGGCAGACUGUGUGGAUGUUAAUUAACCUCUCAAAGUUGAGAUGAAAUUGGGAGACUUUCACAAUCUGCCCUACUGAAGCCGUAAAUCGAGUUCUAAGUCACUUGAGGGCACGUUAUUAGGAUGGGCUAGGGGUACCUAAUUUUCUUUUUGUUUUACGUCAAACGUCAACUGGACAAAAAGUAACGUUUGAAUGUUAUACUGCCUCUAGAGAAACGCAAAACAAUUCACUGUAUCACCAAAGUAGUUUUCGAGCAUUUGACACUACAAUUUUUGUUAGCCAAUUCUAAAAAACCAGACGUUUCAGAUCAGAGUUUCAACAGUUACAGAAAUUUGUUGUUGCCUUGUCUUAGGACAUGAACAGCCACCAACGGGCACAUGUCAACACACAUCUAGCACGAGAGGGGUCACAAUGAAAGUUUAGUCGUUAUUACCUCUGGGUUUUUCUCCUUGCUUAUUUGUAUUUCCAAAAUGUGCUACAAGGAGUGUACUUCUUUCAUAAUAAUUAUUUCUGCUCAUCAUUCUCCAGGUUGAAAAAAAAGUUUAUGUUUUCCUAUCCAUCCGUUAUGACUACAUCCCACCAUCCAUUAUGGCUAGCAAUAUUGUAUUCGCGUGACACAAAAAACCAAGUGAAAAAUUCAGUGGAGAAAGAAAGAAACUGGUUCUAUAGUCCAAAACCAACAUCAACUGUUUGAACUGGUGUCACUGGCAUUACCUGUGUUUUAAGCCUAUUUUUUCGGCACACGAACUUGGUAAACGUGGGCCGGGUUUGUUUGAAGUUGGAAUUACGUCGGAAAAUCCAGUGGUGGUAUUUGCGGAACUUAGAAUACAGACAGGCGUUCCAUCAACUCUCGUUGCGUUGUACGUGCUGUCCCAACUCAGCUACUGGUUACUGAGGCUUUGGUUCUCUAAAGGGAUUACACCUGCUGGAUUCAUUCAGGGCCAAGAAACAGCCUAACCUGAGGAUGUCCUGGUCCCCUAAAAACAAACCCCGCAUACAGUGUGUAUGCUUGCUUCUGAAUUCCACUGCACAGAAGACCGGCAAAGCAGUCUUCCUUGGGGCUCUGAAGACCACUGACCCGGGGCAGAAACCACAGCUUCUGUGGCUACGAGGCUGUCGCGGCCGCAAGGAGAGCCGCCGGGAGCACGUUUCUGAGCUGCGCGCGUCAGUCCAGUCGGUACCUCGGGAAAGGGCCCUCCAGGGACUGGCUGGGAGGGGAGGCAAUCAGGGCAGCGCGACUUUCCCCUGCAGCCAUUCCGCUAUGAAAAUGGAAGACAACCCCGGGAUUUGCCCAAGCGUUCUAGGCUGAAGAUAAUCCCCACUUUGGGGUAUUGCUGCGGUCUCCACGACAACAACAACAACAACAAAAAAAAAAAAAAAAAAAAAAAAAAGAAAGAAAAAGAAAGAAAGAAAGAAAGAAAAAAAAGAAACGAGGAAACAUAAAAACAAUGUUGCAUUCUAAUGUACUGAAGUGAUGUAGGAAAGCAACAGCACUGAAAGCCAGCAGAAGCCCACACAGGGUUUAUUUCCAUCAGACGUCCAAUGAGGAUUCACGAAUAAAUGAGGUAGGCCUGCUUCCGAAACUUGUAGCAAACAAUGGCUCCAUGGGUAAAGCAUAAGGCAAAGCCGCUUCAUUACAUCUACUUGGUAACGCUCAGCCAGAGAAAUGUUUCAUGAGUCAGUGGAUUUCAGCAGAUAUAUUCUUGCAAUGCUGGACGUCAAAAAUAUACAGGGCAGCCAGAUGCGGCUUUCUGAUUAGUUACCUGUUGCUCUGAGAGCUGCAAUAGCUUGUGGGGAAUUUAGGAAAAGAGAGAUCUUGCCAUUUUCCAGAAAUCUCAUUUGGAUUGCAAAACAAAAAAGACAGAGAGGCCCAAUAAGAAUGACACAGAGCAUGUUGUCUGCAAUUUAACACACACCACUGUGUGCCAAAAAUAUUCAUUUCCUAAAAGAGGCAAGUAAGACAAAAUUACUUUGGAUAUUUGAAUUACAGCCAUGAUGACACAUCCCACGCAUUCAUUUCCUACUCCUCACCAAGUGUAUCAGGCCACCUGGGAAUUACACCUCGUGUCAAAUUUAACUAAAGUGUGAUGGCACCGUUGUUGACCCAGAGCACCGUCCACUCUUCUCAAUCCAGCAACAUACUUUCGGGCAUCGUUAGAGAACUGUCCCUCGGAUUAAAGUAUACACAACGGAACACGAAGUGUGAACGGAACCCGCAGAACUUGACAACGACCCCCUGAAGGUGUCUCACAGGACUGCUGUCCAGAGUCAGUGCUGAAAUCGCUACUUACCAAGAAAACUGGCAGCAUCUGGUAAAGUUCAGUGUUUAGAAACCCAGUUGUCAGAGAGAAAAUCUGUUGCUUAAACAUUUGUCACCAGAAAGAGUUACCUCUUCUUCCCCCCCCCCCCCCAAUUAGGGUCCUUUUAUGCCAGGAGGAUAGCUUCACCCACCUUUACUGAACACGGGGACUAGGCCAACAACUUCCAAAAAUAGGUUAUUUGAAAACCAGAAUUCCCACUGUUUCUGAUAAUACCUGUAGUGACUGUUACAGGUCAUAAUGCCCCGUCACAGAAAUAACAUCUCAGGGGAAAAAAGGAUUUGUCCAGGAAUCACUCUUCAGAGAAUAGUCUCUCCAAUCUAUGAGAACGCUUCCUGAUACCCACAAAACCCCAAAUAUCUUGAAGAGGGAAGUGGAAAAACCAUUUUCUAACUGGAGAAAGAGGCAUUGUCCUCUUUAGUCUCAACACCCGGAGGAUGAAUCUGUCACGUAAUUCAGUUGUUAUUUCUUUACGUAUGAGGUAUCUUGGGUUUCUGCUAGGACACUACGUUACAUCCUGGUCAAUUUAAUCGGAACCCAGCCGGAGAGUCAUGUUUUCAGUACGUGCCCUUCGAAAACCUCUUCAACCUCAGCAAUCCUCACUGUUUGGAAAGUAGUAUAACACCUAAGUUAACUCAGAGAAAUAAUUAAGAUUGCCGAUUUAAAUACCUCUCUGUGCACAACAAAAGUUUUCUCCUAAAAGGGCAGUAGUUGUGCCCAAGACAAAUCAAAUCCCUAGGAGAAGCUGGAGGAUUUGGAAACUCCACUUUAAGAGCCUGGAUGAAUUAGGGGCUAAGCCUGGAGGGAAGGCUGCAUGAAGACACGAGGACUCUCGGCCGAGAGCACCGGGGGGCUUUUUCUUAGCCAACCCCAAGUGAAGACUGGUGUACUGUGCCUUAAUUCCGAUGACUGACCUCGUCUGCCUUUCUGCAUACCCUUCCGCUUCACCCAUCGAGGACGUGCGGCUGAAUGGUGUUUGACAAACUGCGCCACAAAAUUGAGUUCCUGAAGUUAUCAAAUAUCAUCUUUUGAUGCAGAAAGCUUAAAUGUCUUAAGUAUGGUAUGUACAUUAAUAAAAAAAAAAAAAGUAUGCUAAGUCGUUUGACACAAAUUCCACCAGUAGGAACUCUCCUCAGAGAAUGCCCUCCCUCCCCACGAGUCAUUUCAACUUGGGGACUGUUGGAGGAAGUGCCACUGUGACUGACGUCUCUGCUCUGGUCUCUUGACCGAACCAAGAGGGGCGAGAUCUUACCGGUAACUAGACAAAGCCACAGAUAAGCUAGCCCUCCAUCCACACAGGGAGAGAGACAGGACCAUACUAGAAGGAAUCUGAGCUUCUCAGCUGCUCUCUCUCCAAGUCCCUGAAGCCCGGGAGGCCCAGGGGUGUCAGGAAAUUCCAACUUUCCGUGCCCGAGGAGGAGUUUUAGGAGCCUGUGAUGAUGGAUGCAGCAGGUGCUAAAGAAGUUAUGGUAGGGACUCUCACAUUGAAAAGCACCUUUGGAAAAUGUUCUCUUAAAAACGAUCACUGACCUACCAGAAGCUAACAAGCUUCCGAAGUGCGUAGGCAACCACUUUUACUAAAUGUUGGCUCCUUGCAGGGAUUGUGUUAAUUGCACGUCACAUGCAAGAUACCACAACUGUUUUGUUAAACGGAGUCUUGGGGCCUGCAUUUGCUCUUUUGCAGGGUUUUUUUUUUUUUUUUUUUUUUAAGUGGAAACAAAUAUCGUUUAUGUAUGCAGAGAGUGAAAGGGAAUGGAAAGAGAAAGAAGUGGAGACUUUUGUCCCCUUUUUAAAAUUUCAAACACAGACAUCUCUGAGCCAGUUCCACCACAUGGGACAACUGUGAACAACUGCUUAAUUCUCAAGAGGACUAGCUAGUAAAUGUACAGACCAGCGGAACUGCUUUAUUCUGUUUUACAUACAUUUUCUUUCAGUGACCACCCAUGGUUUUAACCACGUGGGACUUUAAAUCUUAUAUAGGGGCUGGGUCUUAUUUUAGGAAGAACUUAUAAAAACUCAAUUCUCCUAUCAUCGUAAGUCAGCAAACUGCAGUCCAGGGGCCACAUCUAGCCCAAUGAAUAUCUGUGUAAAUAAAGUUUUAUUGGAACACAGCCAUAACCAUUCAUUUACAUAUCACCUACUGUUGUUCGCAUGCUGCAAUGGCAGAGCUGAAUGGGUGUGACAGACACUGUGUGGCCCACAAAGCCUAAGAUAUUUACUAUCUUUGGAAAGCCUUUUAAGAAGAAGUUAGACGAUCUUUGACUUAAAAUACAAUGAAUAAAUACCGGCAUCGACAUAAAGGCACUUAGAUGAAAAAUACUAGCUUCAGAAACAUUAGAAGUUUCAGAAUUUUUGAAUUACAAUCUCUUCUCAGAAAUCUUACAAAUGACUCAAGUCGGGGUUAAGAAGGGAGGGUGUCGAAUGGAGUGGAGUAGACGGGUGGGGGCUCCCCUGUUACUUGCUUAAGGGCAUCUUCUCUUAAGUCCAUCGGACAAAAGGUGUCAAAUUAAUCUACAUUCGGAUCUGCUUUGGGUGAAUUCUAUCCCUGUCUUUUAAAUCAAUUUCCUGACACUAAAUCCUUUCCUCUACCUUCACGCGUGUGGCAGUCGCCUCUGGCAGAGACUUCUGCCCCUUGUGUAUACCUACAAACCAGCAUCAUAGUCUAAAACCUCAAGGACACCAAGAGUGUGCAUCGGCUACCCUACCUCUUCAUCAUCAUUUCUUUAAAAUACAAAUUCUAUUGGAAUGUCCACUCUUAACUGCUAUAUAGAAUAUGCAGAUUUAAGACACCUUCCACCCCACCGUCUUUAUUCAGCAUUGCCGUUAAAUUCUGGAAGUCGGGUUUGUUCGCUCUUUAAUAAUGAAUGCGCUGCAUUGGUUCUGAAAGGGCAGCUUCAUGUGCUGACUUACCUCAUGGCACCAGGGAAAGGGAGAUUUACAAAACGAAACUACAGGAA